GGGCCUGUAGCGUAAUGGAUAACGCAGUUGCCUUCGGAGCAAAAGAUUGGGGGUUCGAGUCCCUCCAGGCCCU
rnacentral:tRNA from 1 species